AUAAGACAUGCACCUAAAAUUUUGGCUGAGAUUAAUAACACUUAGUUCAUAGAUACGAGUUUAAUUCAAAAUUCAUCCAGACACUGAAUCAAAAUUGCCUCCGUUCAACUGUUCAUUUCUUAAGAAUUCAGAAUGUUUAGGAAAGCAGAGAGCUUCUGUCAUACCUUCCUACAGAAAUCACAACAAUUGCAUAGACAGAGAAAACAACUGUUGGGUUUGAUCCCUAUUUCAUCACCAGACAGUCUAAAGACAGUAUUUCAAACUCUGUCCGGUAAAUGGGAGAUGUAGUUGAAGAUCUUGAGUGUCUUCAAGUGUUGAAAGGUGCAAUGACUAACAAAGUUUUUAUGGUUACUUGGCCUAUAAAGGAUAACA
rnacentral:sRNA from 1 species